rnacentral:rRNA from 1 species
GUCUAGUACUCAGAGUUUGAUCCUGGCUCAGAUUGAACGCUGGCGGCAUGCCUUACACAUGCAAGUCGAACGGCAGCACGGGAGCAAUCCUGGUGGCGAGUGGCGAACGGGUGAGUAAAGUAUCGGAACGUGCCCAGUCUGGGGGAUAACGUAGCGAAAGUUACGCUAAUACCGCAUACGAUCUAUGGAUGAAAGCGGGGGAUCGCAAGACCUCGCGCGAUUGGAGCGGCCGAUAUCAGAUUAGGUAGUUGGUGGGGUAAAGGCUCACCAAGCCGACGAUCUGUAGCUGGUCUGAGAGGACGACCAGCCACACUGGGACUGAGACACGGCCCAG